CCUACGGGAGGCAGCAGUGGGGAAUAAUGCGCAAUGGGCGCAAGCCUGACGCAGCGACGCCGCGUGAGGGAUGAAGGUCUUCGGAUCGUAAACCUCUGUCAGCAGGGAAGAACGGUCACUGUGCUAAUCAGCAGUGACUUGACGGUACCUGCAAAGGAAGCACCGGCUAACUCCGUGCCAGCAGCCGCGGUAAUACGGAGGGUGCGAGCGUUACUCGGAAUUACUGGGCGUAAAGCGCUCGUAGGCGGUAUGUCAAGUCAAGGGUGAAAUCCCCGCGCUCAACGUGGGAACUGCCUUUGAAACUGGCAAACUGGAGUGUGUGAGAGGAGAGUGGAAUUCCAGGUGUAGGAGUGAAAUCCGUAGAUAUCUGGAGGAACAUCAGUGGCGAAGGCGACUAUCUGGCACAUAACUGACGCUGAGGAGCGAAAGCGUGGGUAGCAAACAGGAUUAGAUACCCGAGUAGUC
rnacentral:rRNA from 1 species